GCAAGUGUGAAAGACAAAUUCGUCAACUAUUGAAAAUAUUAAAGCAUGGAAUUCUUCUUCAUCCCAACCAACCAUCCAAAGUCUAUUAAAAUCUAUGCUUCUCCCUGCUUCCAGUGAUGAAGAAUGGUUUCCCAGGAAAGUUGGUGGUAAUUGCAGCACUAAUGCUUCUUCUUUUGGCGGAUCUCCGAGCAACUUGUGCAUUAGUUCCUCAUGGUGGUGAUCAUCAUUAGAGUUUGAUAUCGCAUGUUGACAAUAAAGAUGGCACGAGAAAGGUCACAAAAGAAGGUUGCUUUGGAUGUCAAAAUGAGAUGUUUAGCAAGACUACUGCUAUAAUAUUGCCCAUCCGACGCAGCCUGAGACCAAUCAACCUGCCAAAGCCACCUUCACCCACAAGAAGUGGAUUACACAGCCAGUUUGUUCCGGCACCGCCAGACCUGUCCGUUGAUGUUUAGUUGAGAAAUCAUAUGAUGCUCUUCUUCCAAUAAUAAGUCAGUAGGUUAAGUGAUUUGAAUUUGAGAUACUCUUCUUCCAUUAAUAAGUCAAUAGGUUAAGUGAUUUGAAUUUGAAGGUUUUUAAUCUAAAGUGUAAUCGUAUCAAAGUGAACAAUCUUUGGUUAGGCAUUGCUUCUUGAUGUGUUUCAGUGAUUUGAUUUGGAUGGUGGAUAUUCCAAAGCGAACAAUAUUUGAUGUUGUAAAAACUCAAUCCAAGAUAUACAAUACGGAAUAAAUUCA